ACAAAGGUCCUUUUCAGGGCCACAUGCUCUUUCUACUAAGGAUCU
rfam:Canis lupus familiaris chromosome 35, whole genome shotgun sequence.